GACGAACGCUGGCGGCGUGCUUAACACAUGCAAGUCGAACGGUGAACCAGAGCUUGCUCUGGGGAUCAGUGGCGAACGGGUGAGUAACACGUGGGCAACCUGCCCCAGACUCUGGGAUAACCUCGGGAAACCGAUGCUAAUACCGGAUACGACCACUUCGGACAUCCGACGGUGGUGGAAAGUUUUUCGGUCUGGGAUGGGCCCGCGGCCUAUCAGCUAGUUGGUGGGGUAAUGGCCUACCAAGGCGACGACGGGUAGCCGGCCUGAGAGGGCGACCGGCCACACUGGAACUGAGACACGGUCCAGACUCCUACGGGAGGCAGCAGUGGGGAAUAUUGCACAAUGGGCGAAAGCCUGAUGCAGCGACGCCGCGUGAGGGACGACGGCCUCGGUUGUAA
rnacentral:rRNA from 1 species